rnacentral:rRNA from 1 species
GGACGAACGCUGGCGGCGUGCCUAAUACAUGCAAGUUGAGCGCUGAAGGUUGGUACUUGUACCAACUGGAUGAGCAGCGAACGGGUGAGUAACGCGUGGGGAAUCUGCCUUUGAGCGGGGGACAACAUUUGGAAACGAAUGCUAAUACCGCAUAAAAACUUUAAACACAAGUUUUAAGUUUGAAAGAUGCAAUUGCAUCACUCAAAGAUGAUCCCGCGUUGUAUUAGCUAGUUGGUGAGGUAAAGGCUCACCAAGGCGAUGAUACAUAGCCGACCUGAGAGGGUGAUCGGCCACAUUGGGACUGAGACACGGCCCAAACUCCUACGGGAGGCAGCAGUAGGGAAUCUUCGGCAAUGGACGAAAGUCUGACCGAGCAACGCCGCGUGAGUGAAGAAGGUUUUCGGAUCGUAAAACUCUGUUGGUAGAGAAGAACGUUGGUGAGAGUGGAAAGCUCAUCAAGUGACGGUAACUACCCAGAAAGGGACGGCUAACUACGU